CCUACGGUGAGCAGCAGUGAGGAAUAUUGGUCAAUGGACGCAAGUCUGAACCAGCCAUGCCGCGUGCAGGAAGACGGCUCUAUGAGUUGUAAACUGCUUUUGUACGAGGGUAAACGCAGAUACGCGUAUCUGUCUGAAAGUAUCGUACGAAUAAGGAUCGGCUAACUCCGUGCCAGCAGCCGCGGUAAUACGGAGGAUUCAAGCGUUAUCCGGAUUUAUUGGGUUUAAAGGGUGCGUAGGCGGUCUGAUAAGUUAGAGGUGAAAUCUCGAGGCUCAACUUCGGAAUUGCCUCUGAUACUGUUCGGCUAGAGAGUAGUUGCGGUAGGCGGAAUGUAUGGUGUAGCGGUGAAAUGCUUAGAGAUCAUACAGAACACCGAUUGCGAAGGCAGCUUACCAAGCUACUUCUGACGUUGAGGCACGAAAGCGUGGGGAGCAAACAGGAUUAGAUACCCGGGUAGUC
rnacentral:rRNA from 1 species